CAGCAGGGAGUUGUAAUCUUGGAGUUCUCACAGAAGAUGUGCACACGUCCUUCUACUCCAUCAUAUUCCUCUGAAGUAUACAGUAGGCGCUCAAUAAGUGGAAAUCUCUGUGACCCAGGGAUCGAACCCGAGUCUUCUGCAUUGACAGGUGGAUUCUUUACCACUGAACCACAUGGGAAGCCCUCAUUUUUUCCUCAAUUCAGAUGCCCUGUGGUGGCCAAGUCGGUGUCCGCAUCCUGGUGAUUCAUCCAUACCAGCUACCUGCUCCCUAUCCAUGCCAUCCAUGGGGCCUGGGAGGUCCUAUGGUACCAGGGCCCUUGUCUUCUAAGGCGCCCUCCAUGAGGUUCAGAGAUCUACCCAGGCAUCCACAAGCCCUCAGUCACUGAGCUUAGAGGAAGGCAGGGAAAAGCUUGGCAGUGUCAGCCAACAAAAAAGAGGCUGUGUGAGGUGAGCCCAAAGGAGAGGUGAGUGAGCUGAGGUUAGCAAGAUGGGCAGGGCCAGUUCUGUGGGGCUUUGGAGGCUAUGAUGAAUUUGGGUUUUGCUGGUCCAUUAGUUUAGGGAAGGGAGAGAA